AGAACGAACGCUGGCGGCAUGCCUAAUACAUGCAAGUCGAACGAACUCUUCGGAGUUAGUGGCGCACGGGUGCGUAACGCGUGGGAAUCUGCCCCUUGGUUCGGAAUAACAGUUGGAAACGACUGCUAAUACCGGAUGAUGACGAAAGUCCAAAGAUUUAUCGCCAAGGGAUGAGCCCGCGUAGGAUUAGCUAGUUGGUGAGGUAAAGGCUCACCAAGGCAACGAUCCUUAGCUGGUCUGAGAGGACGACCAGCCACACUGGGACUGAGACACGGCCCAGACUCCUACGGGAGGCAGCAGUGGGGAAUUUUGGACAAUGGGCGCAAGCCUGAUCCAGCAAUGCCGCGUGCAGGAAGAAGGCCUUGGUUGUAAACUGCUUUUGUACGGAACGAAACGGUCCUGGUUAAUACCUGGGCGUAAUGACGGUACCGUAAGAAUAAGCAACCGGCUAACUACGUGCCAGCAGCCGC
rnacentral:rRNA from 1 species